GUGGCUAUAGCUCAGCUGGUUAGAGCAUCGGUUUGUGGUACCGAGGGUCGUGGGUUCAAGUCCCAUUAGCCACCCA
rnacentral:tRNA from 1 species